rnacentral:rRNA from 1 species
GAUGAACGCUGGCGGCGUGCCUAAUACAUGCAAGUCGAGCGAACGGACGAGAAGCUUGCUUCUCUGAUGUUAGCGGCGGACGGGUGAGAACACGUGGAUAACCUACCUAUAAGACUGGGAUAACUUCGGGAAACCGGAGCUAAUACCGGAUAAUAUUUUGAACCGCAUGGUUCAAAAGUGAAAGGCGGUCUUGCUGUCACUUAUAGAUGGAUCCGCGCUGCAUUAGCUAGUUGGUAAGGUAACGGCUUACCAAGGCAACGAUGCAUAGCCGACCUGAGAGGGUGAUCGGCCACACUGGAACUGAGACACGGUCCAGACUCCUACGGGAGGCAGCAGUAGGGAAUCUUCCGCAAUGGGCGAAAGCCUGACGGAGCAACGCCGCGUGAGUGAUGAAGGUCUUCGGAUCGUAAAACUCUGUUAUUAGGGAAGAACAUAUGUGUAAGUAACUGUGCACAUCUUGACGGUACCUAAUCAGAAAGCCACGGCUAACUACGUG